rnacentral:pre_miRNA from 1 species
CAGCACGUCAAAGUGGUGGUGAUGUGUUGUGGAUAAGCUCAUAUCACAGCCAGCUUUGAUGUGCUGUG